rfam:Firmicutes bacterium CAG:102 genomic scaffold, scf106
GGAUUCUUAGCUCAGUUGGUCAGAGCAUCCGGCUCAUAACCGGACGGUCCUCGGUUCAAGUCCGAGAGAAUCCA